UACGGAGGGUGCGAGCGUUAAUCGGAAUUACUGGGCGUAAAGGGUGCGUAGGUUGUUUAUUAAGUUAGCUGUGAAAUUCCUGGGCUUAACCUGGGCAGGUCAGCUAAGACUGAUGGACUCGAGUAUGGGAGAGGGUAGUGGAAUUUCCGGUGUAGCGGUGAAAUGCGUAGAGAUCGGAAGGAACACCAGUGGCGAAGGCGGCUACCUGGCCUGAUACUGACACUGAGGCACGAAAGCGUGGGGAGCAAACAGG
rnacentral:rRNA from 1 species